rnacentral:rRNA from 1 species
GAUGAACGCUGGCGGCGUGCCUAAUACAUGCAAGUCGAGCGAACAGACGUGGAGCUUGCUCCUCUGACGUUAGCGGCGGACGGGUGAGUAACACGUGGAUAACCUACCUAUAAGACUGGGAUAACUUCGGGAAACCGGAGCUAAUACCGGGUAAUAUAUUGAACCGCAUGGUUCAAUAGUGAAAGACGGUUUUGCUGUCACUUAUAGAUGGAUCCGCGCCGCAUUAGCUAGUUGGUAAGGUAACGGCUUACCAAGGCAACGAUGCGUAGCCGACCUGAGAGGGUGAUCGGCCACACUGGAACUGAGACACGGUCCAGACUCCUACGGGAGGCAGCAGUAGGGAAUCUUCCGCAAUGGGCGAAAGCUUGACGGAGCAACGCCGCGUGAGUGAUGAAGGUCUUCGGAUCGUAAAACUCUGUUAUUAGGGAAGAACAAAUGUGUAAGUAACUAUGCACGUCUUGACGGUACCUAAUCAGAAAGCCACGGCUAACUACGUG